rnacentral:misc_RNA from 1 species
UUUCCGUAGGUGAACCUGCGGAAGGAUCAUUAUUGUAUAACCGAGGUGCGAGGGCUGUCGCUGACCCGAAAGGACGUGCACGCCCGAGUGCCCUCACACACAUCCAUCUCACCCCUAUCUGCACCACCGCGUGGGUCCCCCUUUGGCUGGUUCGGGGGGGGGCUUACGUUUUCACAAAAACUUUGUAUGCAGUGUAGAAUGUAUUUUUUGUUUUUGCGAUCACGCAAUCAAUACAACUUUCAACAACGGAUCUCUUGGCUCUC